ACAGCUAUGAGGAUUUAAGGCCAACUGUGACUCCAAGGGUGAUCUUUAUUUUAUGAUUAUGUUGCCCAUAUGAAGCUGGUGAAUGGACGGACGGACUAUCACGGACCAUAUGAUUCUUGACAAAGUUGACAUAGCAGAGAAGCGGAUCUAUGUGUUCAUGUUCAGACACAUGAAGGUGAUGAAGCUCUUAUCUGUGGGACAAGGCUGCAGCCGACUUCUGCAAGAAAUUCAAGUCGUAUGGAAGCAUCCCAAGCGUUCUUUUGGUCACCACUGUGAACCCUCCCUAUACAUCUCGGAGGUUAUUCUUUGUUGUUAGAUGAGGCAGUGGCAAUGCAUGUUAUGGUUAAUCACAUCGGUUCAUUUUUUAUUAACAAGAACCCUUGCUCUCACUUCUUUGUCAUCGUCUCGUGUGUUUAUGGAUGCCGAUGAUCAGCCUUCCAAGGAUUAUCUUGAUGGUUGAGUUCCAACUCCGAAAUUGCUAAUAGGAUUGCUACUGAGGUUGUCACUAAGCCUGAGACAGUGACUCUUGAAGAGUUAUUCUCUUACAUCAAGCAAGAAGCUUCUAAGAAACCAUAGAUGAUGUUGUACAGGGUUCUACUUGGUAAUACAUCUCCUGUGGUGGUUGUAAUAGCAAGGCGGACAAAGGGCCUACUUCUCUGAUUUGCAACGAUAAGAAGUGUGGGAAGAGUGAGGUCACAGGCGUACCUCAGUAUCUCACGAGGAUUUCUGUGUAUGAUAAGAGUGAGCAAGCAGUUUUUGUCAUUCUUGGUGAUGCUGGCAAGGAGUUGACUGGGAAACAUGCAGCAGAAUUAGUUGCUAAUUAUUUUGAAGCUAAUGAUGGAGUAGGAGCUGAUCACUGCGUGCCUGUUCCGCAAGCUUUACUUGAUACAAUAGGACAGACACGCAAGUUCAUUGUGAAAGUCUCAGAUCAUAAUCUGACAGGAAGACUCAGACCAUAACUGUCACCAAGAUACUCCCACUAGAGGCCCCACUUCCGUCGACUGUAGGUGAAGAAUCUGGUUCUUCAGGAAGCUCUGGAAGUACUGCAGCUGAUAGGGCUAGAAAAGCCGCUGAGAUCCUUGAGUCAGGUCAAGCAAAGCGCUCAGAGAGUUGGCUAAUGUGGUUUCUACUUAUCUUAUUAUGCAGUGAUUGUUUUUGCUGCAGUUCAAGUUGUGUUUUUAUGUUUCCCUAAUGGCUUUGUGUUCUUUUCAUUUCAAACUUGUGGAUUUGACCUUUUAUAUUUAAGUUUUUGGAUACAAUUUUCAUUAUAUGGUUUUUUUACUUAUCCUUAUGAGCAA